rnacentral:rRNA from 1 species
GGCGAACGGGUGAGUAACACGUGAGUAACCUGCCCUUCACUCUGGGAUAAGCCUUGGAAACGGGGUCUAAUACUGGAUAUUACUUGGGCCUGCAUGGGUCUGGGUGGAAAGCUUUUGUGGUGGAGGAUGGGCUCGCGGCCUAUCAGCUUGUUGGUGAGGUAGUGGCUUACCAAGGCGACGACGGGUAGCCGGCCUGAGAGGGUGACCGGCCACACUGGGACUGAGACACGGCCCAGACUCCUACGGGAGGCAGCAGUGGGGAAUAUUGCACAAUGGGCGAAAGCCUGAUGCAGCGACGCCGCGUGAGGGAUGAAGGCCUUCGGGUGGUAAACCUCUUUCAUCAGGGAAGAAGCGUGAGUGACGGUACCUGGAGAAGAAGCACCGGCUAACUACGUGCCAGCAGCCGCGGUAAUACGUAGGGUGCGAGCGUUGUCCGGAAUUAUUGGGCGUAAAGAGCUUGUAGGCGGUUUGUCGCGUCUGCUGUGAAAUUCUGGGGCUUAACUCCGGACGUGCAGUGGGUACGGGCAGACUAGAGUGUGGUAGGGGAGACUGGAAUUCCUGGUGUAGCGGUGAAAUGCGCAGAUAUCAGGAGGAACACCGAUGGCGAAGGCAGGU